rnacentral:lncRNA from 1 species
CUUGUUCCAGCAUUUCACUGCCAAGUGCCAGAAGAAUGAGAAAUAUGCUACUUCCAGAUUGAACAUCUUUUUCAAUCCUAGUAAAAUAUGACAAAGUACAGAGAAGCCAAAAAAUAUUUGGACCAUCAAGCUCAUCAGAAAUGCUGCUUAUUGGCUGGGUGUGGUGGCUCACGCCUGUAAUCCCAGCAUUUGGGAGGCCAAGACUAACACCACAUCUACAGACACUGACCCUAGAUCACACCUCCAGGAGACAGGAGACAACAUCUUAACACUUUUCACCAUGCAUCCUCCUCUUGAAUCAGAGUGGACUAUUUGUAACUUUCGCCAGUGCAAUGUUGAAGAGGAACUCCCACCCUCGAAUGAACGGAGGAGACCUCCAUAAAUCCAGGGACUUGCACGGCAAAAGGCAUCUCAAAGACCAACUGUUGAUACCCUCUUGUUAGAGACAUACAGAGGUUAGGUGCCUGUCUCGAGGUCACAUGGCUAAGAUGCCAAAAUGGAAACUGAAAACCACAUUUUCUGACAACUUGACAUAUGCUCUUUCCAAGCCCCUUCUCUGACCACACUCCUGUAUGCUCUGUGAAAUGCAGAGAGGGAGAAGAACUUAACAUAAUCACCACAGAAAAGGAGGAUAGAGUUUCACGUCCAAAAAUGUCAAACCCUAAUUUCUUAGUAGGAUGAAAA